UACGUAGGGUGCAAGCGUUAAUCGGAAUUACUGGGCGUAAAGCGUGCGCAGGCGGUUAUGUAAGACAGAUGUGAAAUGCCCGGGCUUAACCUGGGAACUGCAUUGUGACUGCAUGGCUAGAGUGUGUCAGAGGGGGGUAGAAUUCCACGUGUAGCAGUGAAAUGCGUAGAUAUGUGGAGGAACACCGAUGGCGGAAGGCAGCCCCCUGGGAUAACACUGACGCUCAUGCACGAAAGCGUGGGGAGCAAACAG
rnacentral:rRNA from 1 species